GCAGCUGAAUAUCUGUCCAUCCUGCUUGGAAUAACAAUCACUAUUACAAGGUCAGAGCAGUUUUAAUGUAUUUAUUUCAUUUCUCAGGGAUCCUGCCAACUGCUCUUUGGACGUCUGAUGACCAUACUGUGUCUGAUUGUUGGAUGACAGCUUAACUAUUUCUUCAGUUCGCUCAGUCCACUGGGAAUGUUAAGGGCCCCGAGCGCUCCAAUAUUUGGAAGUGAACAAAAACUUCCCUUGUGAGCCUGGAAAAUGUUUAUCAUCACAGUCAAAGGCUUGGCUCUCCGUCAUGGCGUUCUGCCGCUGAUGGAGAAGGUAGUUUGGUAUGACGGAGACAGCUGUGAAGUCUCUUUUUAAGAGGAAGCUGUUGUAGGCCAGCUCACACCUGUAACAUGUCACUCAAGGACUGUCAACACAAAUAACGCUCAUUAAUCAUGUUUAUAAAAGCAUUAAUCUCACGGCUGGGUGGAUAAAAUGUGUUUUUCCACUGUCGCUCGGUGAGGAAUUAAGACCGGGGUGAGAAAGCCAGGAGAGAAAGUACGGAGAUGUCUAAGGUUUUUUUUGUUUUUUUCUUGACAGGAAGACGUUUGCAUUCUCCUGCGGGCAUCAACUCCCUCUUGAGUAA
rnacentral:lncRNA from 1 species